rnacentral:rRNA from 1 species
AGUGAACGCUGGCGGUAGGCCUAACACAUGCAAGUCGAACGGCAGCACAGUAAGAGCUUGCUCUUACGGGUGGCGAGUGGCGGACGGGUGAGGAAUACAUCGGAAUCUACUUUUUCGUGGGGGAUAACGUAGGGAAACUUACGCUAAUACCGCAUACGACCUACGGGUGAAAGCAGGGGAUCUUCGGACCUUGCGCGAUUGAAUGAGCCGAUGUCGGAUUAGCUAGUUGGCGGGGUAAAGGCCCACCAAGGCGACGAUCCGUAGCUGGUCUGAGAGGAUGAUCAGCCACACUGGAACUGAGACACGGCCCAGACUCCUACGGGAGGCAGCAGUGGGGAAUAUUGGACAAUGGGCGCAAGCCUGAUCCAGCCAUACCGCGUGGGUGAAGAAGGCCUUCGGGUUGUAAAGCCCUUUUGUUGGGAAAGAAGAGCAGCAGGUUAAUACCCCGCUGUUCUGACGGUACCCAAAGAAUAAGCACCGGCUAACUUCGUG